GGGAAUAUGGUCUAGUGGUAUGACGUCGCUUCCGCAUACCUGUUGGAUCCUCCAAGUUCGCGGUCCGGAAAAGCGAAGGUCCGGGGUUCGAUCCCCUGUGUUUCCA
rnacentral:tRNA from 1 species